AUUAAAUAUGGAUAACAGGACUGCGGUUACUGUGGCAGUGCACAGAGCCCUCAUGCCAGUCAGGUGCCAGCAUAUGUCAGCAGUCUUGUAAGUGGCUAAUAAAAAAAUCAAUAAAAUAAAAAAUUUUAAAAAAUAGUUUCCUCCAACGAAAUCUUGGUGAGUUCCUGUGUUUUUCAAAAGUUACAUCUUCCAGAGGGUCAUUUAUUUGCCACAAAGCGUUAGUCUCAACUACCUCUUUCUGUCCUCAACUACCUCUUUCUGUCCAAUUACUUCCCACAUCUCAGUUUCUCUUCCUGACCUAGAAAAUUAUUUACAAGAUAUACUUGGUUGGCUACAGAUCUUCAACUGCAACUUCCCUCUGCUACUUGCUCUGCUAAGCACAGCAACAAAGACAGAGGCUUUUUCUUCUUAUUUUAUUUUUUUUUUCUAGAAAGAAAAAGUGAAACAGGCAGAGUGUUCCCAUGUUUUUCCACCAGUGGCACAAGAAGGCAAUGAAGGAGAAGCUGGGGCAGAUGUUGACCUGAGAUCUGGAGCACACCUUCCCAGUGGGGGUACCAGGAUAGAAGACCUCCCAUCAUCACUUUUACUCCUGAGGGACGAGGGGCAGACCUGUACUGUGGUCACAAGUGCAGAAGAAGUUCGUGUAGAUGUUCCUGAGCUUCAGAAAUACACACUCGACCUUCAAGAGUUGCUGCCAAUUUGUCCAGUGUUCACACAGUGUGUAGCACAGGCCUCCUGCUAUGCCUCGUGAGUGCUGCUGCAGUACAGCCACCUUUCCUUUUGUCUGGGCACCUUUAUCAGUACAGCUGAAGGGAACACUGUGUGGACUGUGAAUUCCUCUCCAAGAUCAUGUAAAUUCUUGGACGGUACAUGCUGUUGCACUUAGUAUUAAUCUAACUAGCUAAAGCUGGUUUGCAUACAUCUGCAGCUACAGCAGAAGUUUAAUGAUAAAUAUUCCCAAAUGUAGCCAUGCAAAUAGUGGCAAAUAUUGAAUAAAUGCAUGAAAUGCAUUUAGUAAGUAAAAAAA
rnacentral:lncRNA from 1 species